UGAGAUAUAGCUCAGUAGCAGAGCACCUGCCUGGCAAGCAUGAGGUCCUGAGUUCAACUCCUGGUAACCCUC
rnacentral:tRNA from 1 species